rnacentral:rRNA from 1 species
AACGAACGCUGGCGGCAUGCCUAGCACAUGCAAGUCGAACGAACCCUUCGGGGUUAGUGGCGCACGGGUGCGUAACGCGUGGGAAUCUGCCCUUUGCUUCGGAAUAACAGUUAGAAAUGACUGCUAAUACCGGAUGAUGUCUUCGGACCAAAGAUUUAUCGGCAAGGGAUGAGCCCGCGUAGGAUUAGGUAGUUGGUGGGGUAAAGGCCUACCAAGCCGACGAUCCUUAGCUGGUCUGAGAGGAUGAUCAGCCACACUGGGACUGAGACACGGCCCAGACUCCUACGGGAGGCAGCAGUGGGGAAUAUUGGACAAUGAGCGCAAGCCUGAUCCAGCAAUGCCGCGUGAGUGAUGAAGGCCUUCGGGUCGUAAAGCUCUUUUACCAGGGAUGAUAAUGACAGUACCUGGAGAAUAAGCUCCGGCUAACUCCGUGCCAGCCGCCGCCGUAAGAC